UUUUAGCCCAGAUUGUAGUGGAAAGGCCGAAAGCCCCAAAAAGAUUUUUUGUAGCCACAAAAGAGCGACCAGCGGAAGCUCCUUUUGUGGUGUACAAAAAACUUUUUUGGGGCCGAGGACUUGAAACGAAAGCUGGAAUAGCU
rnacentral:sRNA from 1 species